CGUUCCGCAGCAGAUAUCCGCGCGAAGCGCGCAACGCCGCGCAGCGGCAAUCUUUUACGUAUUCGCUGCCUUUAUCCAGGAGCUAUUAGCUUCAACGGGUCCUAGUAUAAGCCAAAGCCGUAUAAUCCGUGAAUUGAGCAGUUCUGGGGCUAGCACAAGCUUUUCGACUUUCCACGUAGGGCGAGAAUAAAUUGAGUGGUCGUAAUUGGUGUUGUUUUUUCUUCGCGCGGUACGUUUUUUCCUAUAAAAACGAUUUCGAAUUUAUUUAAUUUAACGCCCUGAAGUUAUUCUGGUACAUAUCGCGGCCCAUAGAUCGCGCCACGAGGCUCUCUUGGAGGCAUUUCGCAGACAAUUUUAGUUAGACUGGCGCGCGGUCGAGAAUUUCACACGCUGCAGUAACUAUAACUUUAGUGUAGCGAAACAGACUUGCCCGAAUUAAGGUCCGUGCGAGUCUAACCUGGAAUCGUGACAUCGCGUGUUCGUUAUCGUAGCCAUCUUCCUUCUCCUUUUGAACCUGUUGACCCCCCACAGGUUUGCGAUGAUGACGUACAUACCCAUCGAUGUUGCAUGCAUGAAUGUGUCAUGCCACGCUGUUGUAGUGCGCUCUUGUGUAAGUCUACGGUUGUUCCAUGUGAGUCGUCGAAGAAGGAUACAUUUCUUUCCAUAGGCGAGUUCGAAGUUUUUCUGCAAAGUUUUUCUGCACAACGUACAGCAAUGACGGCCUCCCCUCGACCGCAGGGGUAGACGAAGUUGCCACGGGGAGCGCGGGGUGAAGAGGUUGAUAAAAACCUCGCACGUACGGAGCCAGGUAAUAUAGCUUCGCUCUUAAUAUAGACUUAUAGUUUUUACUGUAAGCCUGUAGGCGUGCCGCGCAUGUUCCUUGGAACUGGUAACACCUGUUCAUGCAUUUUUCAUGUUUGCUUUUGCUCGUAAUCCAAUGAGAACAGCAAUCAUAACUCCACUCUUUAAUAAAGCAAGCUGGUCAUUGACUUUAA